rnacentral:tRNA from 1 species
GCGCCUGUAGCUCAGUCGGAUAGAGCACCUGCCUUCUAAGCAGGUUGUCGCUGGUUCGAUUCCAGCCAGGCGCG